UAGUGCCAUAUCAAAAAGCGGAGGAAAAGAAACCAACAGGGAUUGCCUUAGUAGCGGCGAGUGAAGCGGCAAAAGCUCAAAUUUGAAAUCUGGCUCUUUCAGAGUCCGAGUUGUAAUUUGAAGAAGGUAUCUUUGGGUCUGGCUCUUGUCUAUGUUUCUUGGAACAGAACGUCACAGAGGGUGAGAAUCCCGUGCGAUGAGAUGAUCCAGGCCUAUGUAAAGUUCCUUCGAAGAGUCGAGUUGUUUGGGAAUGCAGCUCUAAGUGGGUGGUAAAUUCCAUCUAAAGCUAAAUAUUGGCGAGAGACCGAUAGCGAACAAGUACAGUGAUGGAAAGAUGAAAAGAACUUUGAAAAGAGAGUGAAAAAGUACGUGAAAUUGUUGAAAGGGAAGGGCUUGAGAUCAGACUUGGUAUUUUGUAUGUUACUUCUUCGGGGGUGGCCUCUACAGUUUAUCGGGCCAGCAUCAGUUUGGGCGGUAGGAGAAUUGCGUUGGAAUGUGGCACGGCUUCGGUUGUGUGUUAUAGCCUUCGUCGAUACUGCCAGCCUAGACUGAGGACUGCGGUUUAUACCUAGGAUGUUGGCAUAAUGAUCUUAAGUCGCCCGUCUUGAACCACGGAACCAAA
rnacentral:rRNA from 1 species